CCGGACUUCCGGGCUGAGCAGCCUCUGCUUCCGGGCAGGACUCAGCCAAUGUAGACCAAGAUGUCGUCUUCCCGUGUUGCCUCCAGAGCAGUCACUUUUGAGUCAACCAAAGCUAAUGCCUUGAUUGAUUUCACACCAACUCACAGAAGAAGAGAAAAAUGGAUCAACAGAGUCUUGCCCAAUGAAGAGCAUGAAGUCACAAGCCGAAUCACACUCCGAAAUGGCAAGGUCGCCAACCAGUUCCUCUCAGCAGGCAUUUAUUUGUCUCCACCUCUGCACCAGACGCCGUGCUGAUAAACUGCCUCAUCACGGCCUCAUUUACGUCUGUGCUCAGGAUCUCAAUGUCAUUUGUACUUUUUCCUGAUGCGUUCCAUGCAGAAUGACCAACAUCAGGGAAGUAGGCCAGGGAGUAACAGGUAAGACCUGGAGGAAGCCAUGCCCGACUGAGCAUCCACGCUCAUGGGGGGUUAGAUGUGCGUACAGCAGAGAGCCAGG
rnacentral:lncRNA from 1 species